UCUACAGCCGCGUCAGAAGCGAGUUUGUAUCGCGGGAUUACGCGACUUCCGGCAGCCGGGCGUCUCACGUGACCGGAGGCGCGUUCCCUGUGUAUCGUACAACGCAGACAUGGCGGGAGAUGACGGGGACCAGGAGAAGCAGCUCCGCCCGCUGACAGCAUGGGUGGGGGAGAUGUGAGCGGGUCUCCAUGGUCUGGAGCGCAAGCGGGAGGUUGCUUAGCAACACCCGAUGGCAUGGAUCCGGAAGUGAGGGACCGCGGACAUCCGGCAGCAGCCUCAGGGGAAGACGGAGACGGCGGCAUGACGGCUUGAAAGUGCCGCCAUGACUUCCGUUGUGGGGAUUCCAGCACCAGAGGAUAGAGAGGGUCAAUGAAAAACACGAAGUGCCCAAGGCAUACAUUUUCUGGACCUUCACUACUGCACAUGAACUGUGAACGCACCACUGUACUUUUCAGUACUCUAUGAUCGUUCUGAAUGUCCAUAAAAAGGUUAAUCAGUGGAGGAUGUUUUGUCUCGAGCCUUUAGUGAAAUGCAUUUGUACUAUCAUCAAGAUAAGACAAACUCCACUGUUCCAUCUGGAGCUGUGCUUUAAAACCACUUAACUGAUGAUUUUUCCCUUCAAAACAGUUCAUAAGAUUGUUUUUUUUAUUUAUUUUUUAUUAAUUUAAUAUAGAUUAAAAGGUAUUUUUUAAAAAUAUUUAAAUAUUAUAUUAUUCACAUCUGCAGAAUGGAUCUUCUCAUCAAAAACUGGGCGACACAUUGGGGCUGUGCGGUCCCAUGAGAUCUGACCAAGCCAGUUAAGUGGUUAAAUGAAGGGGCUUUUGCAUUAUAAAGUUCCUUUUAUUUGUGAACUACUGUUAUGUAAAUUUCAUACAAGAUGUCUCUAUAUGGAAUGUGAUGUUUUUAUUGAAAUGAAGAAAAAUUAAUAUAAAAAAGUUGGAAAUGUAAAAAUCAAUCAAUAAAAAUAAAUAAAUAAAUAAAUAAAUAAAUAAAGCUCUGCUAAUGCCCAUGUACCCACACCCCCUCCCCCAUAUCCCUACUACAGGUGUUGCACCCCCAACCUGCUGCCUCUUUCCUUAGCAGCGAGCAGAUAGGGUCUCCAGCCUACACGUCGGGAAUAUUGGGCAGGACUAUGUCAUCGUAGCUUAGCACCACACUCCCAACAUAACAAGUAAUGAGAAUGAGGAGCAGCAGAUGAGAGCUUCACAUGUUUCCUCUCUUCUUGUCAGUGGCAGGGUCUCCAGGUGCAUAUGCUGCCAGGAUGUUAAAAAUGUUACAUUAUGUUCUUCAUUGAGUAGGUAACCCUUAACCACUGGAUCCUCAGGUGGUUGCCUUCAGUUGGGUACACACUAAUAAAUAUAUUGCCCGUUACAUUGAACAGGGGAUAUAUUUCUGUAGUACAUUUGCUGGAAUGUACACCCAAUAUGUCUGAAUGCCGUUCACAGAUAUAUUAAUUCAGCCCUACAGCACAGCCUGUGCCGAUAUACCUUGCAGAUACUGUAUAUCGUUAUGUCUGGCUCUGUGUAUGGGCAACCCGCUCACCACCCGCAUGCUGACUGUAGGGCCUGACAUCACAGCUGAGUGGGUAAAUUUAAAUGCUCCCCCAGUUGUGAUGUUGGGGUAGGCACAUUGACCGGCUGACUGGUAACUGUAUGCGUACCAAAUCGGCUGCUAUGACAGCGGAUCCACUGGCAAAGUAUGUACUUAGAAACAGGGUCAUAUUCAAUUAUG